rnacentral:tRNA from 1 species
GGCUGGUUAGCUCAGUCAGUUAGAGCGUGGUGCUGGUAACACCAAGGUCGUGCGUCCAAUUCCUGCUCAGUCC